AUCCUUUGGUUCAUGAGCGUGAUGACUGGGUGUUUAUACCUUAUGCGUGAGAUGUGCCUUCCUUCAAACCUUGUUACGAUGUGGGCACAUUACCCGUCUAACG